AAAGUUAAACGGCCGCGGUAUCCUGACCGUGCAAAGGUAGCAUAAUCACUUGUUCCUUAAUUAGGGACUGGCAUGAAUGGCCAAACGAGGGUUCGACUGUCUCUUAUUCUCAAUCAGUGAAAUUGACCUUCCAGUGAAGAGGCUGGAAUUAUAAAAUAAGACGAGAAGACCCUAUGGAGCUUAAAUUAACUAGCCUAAUUUCCAAAUACUAACCCUAAUGGACUAAAACCAACGAAAAAAUAAGCUAGCAAUUUCGGUUGGGGUGACCUCGGAGAACAAAAAAACCUCCGAAUGAUUUUAGUUUAGACUAACAAGUCAAAACAACUACACAAAUCUUAUUGACCCAAAUUCCCUUGAUCAACGGACCAAGUUACCCUAGGGAUAACAGCGCAAUCCUAUUUAAGAGUUCAUAUCGACAAUUAGGGUUUACGACCUCGAUGUUGGAUCAGGACAUCCCAA
rnacentral:rRNA from 1 species